UGCACAUAUUGUGAGCUCGAUGAGUAGGGCGGGACACGUGGUAUCCUGUCUGAAUAUGGGGGGACCAUCCUCCAAGGCUAAAUACUCCUGACUGACCGAUAGUGAACCAGUACCGUGAGGGAAAGGCGAAAAGAACCCCGGCGAGGGGAGUGAAAAAGAACCUGAAACCGUGUACGUACAAGCAGUGGGAGCACGCUUAGGCGUGUGACUGCGUACCUUUUGUAUAAUGGGUCAGCGACUUAUAUUCUGUAGCAAGGUUAACCGAAUAGGGGAGCCGAAGGGAAACCGAGUCUUAACUGGGCGUUAAGUUGCAGGGUAUAGACCCGAAACCCGGUGAUCUAGCCAUGGGCAGGUUGAAGGUUGGGUAACACUAACUGGAGGACCGAACCGACUAAUGUUGAAAAAUUAGCGGAUGACUUGUGGCUGGGGGUGAAAGGCCAAUCAAACCGGGAGAUAGCUGGUUCUCCCCGAAAGCUAUUUAGGUAGCGCCUCGUGAAUUCAUCUCCGGGGGUAGAGCACUGUUUCGGCAAGGGGGUCAUCCCGACUUACCAACCCGAUGCAAACUGCGAAUACCGGAGAAUGUUAUCACGGGAGACACACGGCGGGUGCUAACGUCCGUCGUGAAGAGGGAAACAACCCAGACCGCCAGCUAAGGUCCCAAAGUCAUGGUUAAGUGGGAAACGAUGUGGGAAGGCCCAGACAGCCAGGAUGUUGGCUUAGAAGCAGCCAUCAUUUAAAGAAAGCGUAAUAGCUCACUGGUCGAGUCGGCCUGCGCGGAAGAUGUAACGGGGCUAAACCAUGCACCGAAGCUGCGGCAGCGACGCUUAUGCGUUGUUGGGUAGGGGAGCGUUCUGUAAGCCUGUGAAGGUGUACUGUGAGG
rnacentral:rRNA from 1 species